GCGGCUAGUGCAUUCGAGGGGCGGGCCGGGGAGGUGCAGGGCCCGGGACCUCCCUUCCCUGGGGCCUCUGGUGUCUGCUGGGUCCCUGAUACUUUCCGCUGCCCCCUCUCCCAGACCACCUGGGGAGUGAUGGCUUCAAGUCCCCUUUACAGUUGGACAAAAUGAGGUGCUCAGGUGCGAGGAGGGGUUUGGCGGCCCGUUUCCCGCUGGGAGCCUGCUGCACGGACGCAGCCUCCCUACGUUAACCUCGCCUCCAUUUGCGUUGCCUCCCCUGGGCCCUUCGGGACUGGAAGUCAUGCCCUUGAGACUGCCGGUUCCGAACUCCCGUAGUUCAGGAGGGCAGAAGGACGAGGGCCCAGGGCGGGCUGUAGGGCUGAGCUCUCCUCUCGGACUUGUUUCCUGCGCAGGGAGACGGAAUCCCAGAGAGGCUGAGGGUCAGAGACGCUGAGAGUCGGUUUGGUGAUACUCAGGCUUAGGCCCUUCCGCUGGAGGAGAGCACUUUCUCAUGCCUUGGUGCAGCUUUGCCAAGACGACAAUCUGACAUAACCAGCACCGGCUAGGGGUGGGAGGGGUGGAGGGUGUUCAACACCUGCUCAGUUAGGGGCCUCCCUCCCAACUUGUCUCUAAGAUGGCUCUGCCAGGAAUGGAGCCAGGUGACAUCUUUAACAGGCCCCAAGAGGGCAGGUAUGCAGCGGCAUCCUCAGGGAGGCCUUAAAGGGCCAGCCUGAGAUCUGUUUCUCUUGGCGUCUAAAUGCCCUUCUGUCCCCCCAUCCAUCCCCCUGUGCCACUCAGCUGAGAGUGGCUGGGCCCUGGCCUGCCCUGCAGCUCUCUGGUGGAGUUUCCCUGCAGCCUCACGUGUCAGCCUGUGAACUGAAUCACCUCCUGGAGGGCUGUGGUGAGCUUCACACACACCAGAGGGUCUUCUCCAUAAGUCAUGGAGAGAUGUUUUAUUCUUUGAAACCACACCUGCAAACAGGCACUGUGUGUGCGGGCGGAGCCAGGGGCUCACUGAAGGUCUCCAUUUGACAGCGUGGAGAGGGCAUUUCUCAAGGUCACAAUGCCAGCAGGUGGCAGAACCAGGUCAGGGCCUCGUGUGCCCUUCCUGGUGUCCUGGGCAGGGGCUGGGGAGAGUUGGCUUCUGGUCCCUGUCUGCCCCCCUCUUCACAGCUUCCUCAGUCCCUCCUUAUGUCAGGCUUUGGGAAUGGGGUGAAAGGGAGAGGAGGAUAAGGCCAUUCCAAGGUCCUUAGGGUCAGCACAUGGCUCUGGCAGGCUGGCCCUCCUGCACCUGCCCUCUCCCAUGUACCAGUCUUUCUGGCUGGUUUCUAAGUUCUCAGCUGGGAAAGGGAGAUCCAGGUGGAGGUAUCAGGCUCAGAGAAAGUUUGGGGACCAGGGAGCCAUGAGGGCCUGGGCAUCGUCUGGUCUCUCCAGAGAGGGAGGACCUACCAAAGCCACUGGGGUCAUUUGGGGUCUAGAGGCACGCAGGCGACAGGGACAUUUUGGAGGUGGCAGUGAGGGAGCUCAGGCCGCAGUGCUGGGCCUUAGCCAGGACUGUUUGUUUUCUGGGUUGCAAAGGAGGGGACACUUGAUCCAGAAGAGCUUUCAGCUAAUGGUGGAAGUGCUCUAUGCCAUCACAAUUUUGCCUUUCUCCGGGAUUUGUUGGUAAUCAGCUUUGUCUCGAUUUGGGGGCAGGGUGAGUGUGUAGAGAAUUAGAGCUAACAACAGCUGGAGAAAGUGCUGUGUGUGGCGAGCGGGUGGGAGACAGUAAGUGGAGAUUGGUGCUCGUGUCCCAGCUCUGUCUCCUCCCUCCUCCUCUUCCAGAUGUCCCACUGCUCCUCACCCAGGGCCUUGGCCCGGCACCCAGUGCUCCGUGUCCUAAACGCCAGCUGCUGGGUACUGCUCUGUUUGCUGUCCCUCAGCCAGCUAACAGGUCACCUUCCAGCACUUGCCUGGCCCUCCAGGGCCUGUCUAGAAGCUGCCCAGCCUGGCUUCAUUUCUUCUCUAUCACUAGACAUGGAUAACAACCCAGUCCAGGGACUCAGAAAACAGAGCUGACUCGGAGCUUUCAGGAGCUAUUGUCUCCCAGCCUUUGUCCAGGUGACUUUCCUGGUUUUCACUGUCCCAGGGACCCCCCUGGGGGCUGGGCAGUUUGUUGUUGGAGGGCUGUUUAGGCCCUUGCUAAUAAUGUAACCCCUGGGCAGGAGACCAACACCUCACCUCCACUCCUACCUCCCGAUUUGCUGAACACUUUCUUGUUGGUCCCUAGCCCUGGGACCUUGGAAGACCUGUGCAGAGGACAUUAGGGUUUUGUUGUCAAGAGGGAACCUAGGAUCCCAGUGCAGGGAGGUGAAGGAAACAUGAUCCUUUCUCAGGCCAGUGUCUGACCUUGGGAGAACAGCAGGUCUAGUCUCACCUGGAUAAACCCCUUCCUUCUCUGGCCUGGCCCCUGCCAUAUGUGGGUGGUGCCACUGGAGGGCAGUGUGGGACUGUUUCUCCAGAUGGGGCGUGGCCUGGGAUAGGUAGUCUCCAUCGCCCUCUGGUCUUCCUGGCACUGUCUAGGCCUAGAGUUGUAAGAGCCCGGGAGGCAGAGCAAGCGGAGUGGCCUGAGAGUGGGAGUGUGCUUCCCAUGGUGGCUUCCUGGAUGGGGCGGGGUUAGAGACCCUAGCUGCACCCAUCAGUAGCUCCCUGGGGAGAGGAACCCACUUGGAGAAGGGGUGCAGCAGAGGCUGUGUGGCUGGGCAGAGUUGCAGACCUUGGGGAGAAGACCAUCAGGAAAGAGAGAUUUGGCCUGGCCACAGAGUGGCCCCAGAGAUUAGGCUGAAGUGACAGGAAGUGCCUAAGGUGCUCCAAGGCUACGCUGGAUAGUGUCAGAGGGGCUUGCUUUCCCUGACCCUGACCCUGACCCUGACCCAGACAGGCAGUCCCUGAGAGCAACUUGGAGGCCUGGGAUUGUCCGAGCUGAAUAAGAGACGCCUGCUCGGACCUGCCAGAGGAGAGGAAUCUGGGAAUUGGAAAUCCCCAACCUAUUUCUUCCCACAUUGGUCCUUGACCGCACCCUGGCCAGGAGUGCUAGAGGCAGGGAUCCCCGGAUUCUGGAAUAACACAUUAAGCACCUCCUCUGGGCCAGACGCUAUGCUAAGCACUUUAUGCCCAUUAUCUGCUUCAGCCCUCCCAGCCACACUGCAAAGUAAUUAUCCCCGUUUCCACAGACGAGGAAGCAGAGUCACAGAGGGUAUGUGACUUGCCCAAAGACAUAGCACCUGAAAGGGGGGAGGGGUCCCUCAAACGUUGGGCCACAUCAUGCUUCAUUCAUUAGGCCAGUGAGGGGGUUUCUGGAUGUUACUUUGAAGCUGUAUUGCCACCCCGAUCCUUGGUUGUGGGGAGGGAUAUUAUGAGAUGCUGGAGAGUGGCAGAAACACCCCCUUCCCACUUUCCCCUCAGGUCUGGGCACACCCCAGCAGGACUGUCUGGGCCCUGGGGGUUGAGUCAGACUGAGUCAGCGCCCCUCGCUUCUGGCGAGGGUGGCCCAAGGGUGCCUUGGAGGGCUGCCUCCUUUCCCUGCAGAUCUGGGCUGGAACGUUUGGUGCCAAGGAGAGCACAGAACCGGGAUAGCAGAGGAGGAGGGUGACGUGGGGCGUGGCAGAGCAGAAAGGGUCCCAGACGCAGACAACAGAACAGGCCUGGGACUCUGUCCUGGCCGGGAACUUGCUGGGGGAGGAGUGUGUGUCUGUGGGGGUGUCCUUGGGCAAUGACUUUCCUUUUCUGAGCCAGUUUCAUUUGUGUGUUUGCUCUUUGGUUUUGUCUUUGAGGGGAGCCAGGGAAGUGAUAACAUCUGAGUGCCUAGUACCCAGUGGAGAUCUGUGAGCAAUGGAGGCGACCAGGACAGCACCCCCAAGCAGUACAGGCCUGUUCUUAGCUAGCGCAUCACCAUAUCAGGACUCCCUGGACCACCCCGCCUCCCCUACUACAGUCUCUGGCUCCUCCCAGCUCUUCAGAGCCUCCAUUCUAUGGUUCUGGACUCCAGGAUUCUGUUCCUUCCCGGCAGCUCAUUCCGGAUGACUUGGAGGCUCGACGUUACACCACCUCAGCACCCUCCUCACAGGAGCCCUGCCCGCGCGGUGGCAAGGGGCUGGGUCCUGGGGACUUGCUCAUACUAGGAUUUCUUUCUGUAUGGCACGUUGGACUUGGGCUGGUGCUGUACAAUGUGACUACAGGCGCUGAGAUAGAAUCAGAUGUUUAGACAAGUCUCAGCUCAGCUGGGGCCCCCAUUUUAGUAGACAUUAUUGUUUCGAAGUCUAACAGCACCAGGAGGCCUGUUUGAGGGAAAACAUCAGUUUGAAAAAUCCCUGGCUCCCGCUUCCGAAUUUCCCUCAUCUUGUCCCCCCUCCCCUGUGUAGGAACUUGCCUGGGCCCCUCGGAAAGACAAUCAGCUACUAGCUCCUGGGGGAUUCACCUCUUUCUCAGGAAGAGGUGGUGGCACUGUGAAACUUCUAAGCAAACUUUGAAAUGAAACAAACAAACAUGUAUUCAACCAUCUUGAUGAUGGAGGGAAGGGGGACACAUUUACUCACACCCAACCCAGAACUUGUAGAAUUCUGCAACUUGAAUGUGUACUGAACUAGUUCCCUGACUGAUACGUCAGGAAGAAUAAAUCUCAGCCACGUGAGGCAA